rnacentral:rRNA from 1 species
GACAGAGGUGGCAAGCGUUGUUCGGAUUUAUUGGGUGUAAAGGGCAGGUAGGUGGCCAAGCAAGUCCGAUGUGAAAUCCCAGGGCUCAACCCUGGAACUGCAUUGGAAACUGCUCGGCUUGAGUACCGGAGAGGUGAGGGGAAUUCUCGGUGUAAGGGUGAAAUCUGUAGAUAUCGGGAGGAACACCAGUGGCGAAGGCGACUACCUGGCCUGUUUCUUGACGCUGAGGCGCGAAAGCUAGGGGAGCAAACGGG